UCUCUCUGGACAGUGACAGUAUUUAUUACUGUACCUUAUUACAUACUUCUUUAAUUCAGAAUUUCAAUCUUCUUGUACAAGUUACUGUAUAAUUUACUAGGUCAAAAAUUCUGUAAGCUCUUUUUUUUUACAUUACAGUACAGUGCAUACAGUACAGUACAUGAUGAAUUAUGAGAUAUUAUAGGAAAAAGUGAUCUCACAUGCAUUCUCCAGAAGGUGGAGCUCCAGGAACCAUCCUAGUUCAGUCUCAGUUCAGUUGUUUAAAAACAGAGCAGACAUACACGGAGUCAGUCAUACUCAGAGAGAAAACUGGAAGUCUUGAUUCUCCAAGUUAUUGUCUUUCAUUAUUGUAGAUGUUGCCCCUUGUAUUUAUUAUAUUUUCUCUCCUAAAAGAGAAUGCUGGUGAAGAUGUCAUAAAACCAGUCUUGACACAUAAGCAUGUUUUGGAAGGAAAAGCUGUUACACUGAUCUGCAGCUACACUGGCACUGUUCAGAGUUUACAGUGGUAUCGUCAGUAUCCCGGAUCCAAACCUGAGCACCUCAUCUUGUUCUAUGAGACCAUCCCCAAAUCAGAGCCCGCUCUCCGUCUGACCGCUGCAGCUGAUAAAGCAGCCAAAAGUAUGAAUCUGACCAUCUCUUCUACAGAAAUGAAAGACUCUGCCGUGUACUAUUGUGCCCUGGAGCCCACAGUGACAGGAAACACAACUGCACUGUACAAAAACAGAGUGAGAAAGGAUAUUUAAGACAGUAGAUGAUGAUGAUGCACAAUGCAGAUUUUAAAACUACACUCUUUAUAAACUGGA